rnacentral:rRNA from 1 species
CCUAGUUCAUCCUGCCAUUAGCAUAUGCUUGUCUCAAGGAUCAAGCCAUGAAGUGUAAGUACACAUGGCUGGCUCGGUGAAACUGUGAAUGACCGAUCAAAUCAGUAAUCGUUCCCUAGUUCACUCCGUCUGUCAUUUGGAUAACUGAGGACAUUGCAGAGACAAUACAUGCCGAUAAGUGCUGACCUCCUAAGAUGCAUGCAUCAAUCAUACCAAAACCAAUCAGGGCUCUCCUGGGUGCUAUUGUGACUCUAGACAACCUGGAGGCGAUUGCACGUCCCUGUAAUGGCGACGAUACAGUUGAAUGUCUGCCCUUCAAUCCUUCAAUUGUAGUGUCUGUACCUAUCAUGAUGACCACGGGAAAUGGCGGAUCAUAGUUCGAUACUGUAAAGGGAGCCUGAGAAACAGCUACCACAUCCAAGGAAUUCAGCAGGUGCAUAAAUUACCUUCUCCUGACUUGUGGAGAAAGUGAUGAAAAAUAACAAAUCAGGACUCUUACGAGGCCCAGUAAUUGGAAUGAGUGCACUUUCGAUCCAUUAACACGGAUCCAUUGGAGGACAAGUCUGGUGACAUUAUAUGCCAUAAUUGACAGCUCAAAUAGCGUAUCUGAAUAUUGCUACAUUUACAAAUGCAUGUUGGAUCAAGGUAUCAAGCUGGAGGUCUGCUGGCAAGUGAGCAACUGUUUGUCACAGCUACUUCUUCCCAGUACCUCCGUGAUGCAUUUGUCUGAGUGUCCCGGGGUCCAAAGUGUUCACUAAAUCAGAGUGUUCAAUGCAGGCCGGUCACCUGAAUACCUCAGCCAGGAUUAUUUGAAUAUGACUUUGCUGCUAUUGUGUUGGUUGGUGGAAAAGUGACCAUGUUGGGAAGGGGCCGGUGGGGGCCUUGGCAAUGUGACGCUAGAGCUGUAACUGUUGGAAAAAGGCAAGAUGAUCCAGUGUAAAAGCAUUGAGCAAGAUUGUCUUCAUCAUUCCAGAAUAGAAGUUUGAGGUUUGAGGAUGAUCAGAUACCAUCCUAGGUCAUACCAUAAAUGAUGCUGACAAGCUAUCUGGUGGCGUCAUUCUCAAUACCCACAGAGUGGCUUCUGGGAUGAGUAUGGUUGCAAAGCAGAAACAUAAAGAAAUUGACAGAAGGGCACCACCAGGUGUGGAGCUUGUGGCUUGAAUUGAGUCAACAUGGAAAAACUCACCUCGCCUGGACAGGAUAAGGAAUGUCAAACUGAUGGCUUUGUUUCCUUUCUGUGGGUGCAUGGCCAUUCUUAGUUAGUCGAAUUGAUAUGUGAGGUAAAUUCUGAUAAUGAACAAGACUCCAGCAUACCAACUAGUCAUGCUACCUCCAGUGGUUGGAGAUCAACUUCUAGGAGGAACAAGUGGCGUUCAGCCACACGAGCCAGACAGGUCUGUGAUGCCCUUUGAUGUCUGUGGAUGCAUGUGUGCCACACUAAACAGAUCACUGUGUGUCUACCCUUCACCAACACGUCCAGGUAACAUGCUGAACUGUGUGUGUGACAGGUAUUGUGGAUAGCAAUCUAUUCACUUAAAUUAGGAAUUCCCAACAUGUGCAGGUCAUACUCUUGCAUUGAUGAAGUUCAUGAGCUUCGAACACAGUGCCUGUUUCCACUACUGAUUGGAUGGUUCAGUGAGCUCCUCAGAUUGGCCCCGCUGGGGUCGGCAGCAUCCCUGGUGGUGCACGAGAAAAUGAUCACACACUACAAUCUACAGGGAGUGUAAGUCAUAACAAGGUUCCUGUAGAUGAACCUGCAAGGG